UGGGGAAUAUUGCACAAUGGGCGAAAGCCUGAUGCAGCGACGCCGCGUGAGUGAAGAAGUAUUUCGGUAUGUAAAGCUCUAUCAGCAGGGAAGAAAAUGACGGUACCUGACUAAGAAGCCCCGGCUAACUACGUGCCAGCAGCCGCGGUAAUACGUAGGGGGCAAGCGUUAUCCGGAUUUACUGGGUGUAAAGGGAGCGUAGACGGCGAAGCAAGUCUGAAGUGAAAACCCAGGGCUCAACCCUGGGACUGCUUUGGAAACUGUUUUGCUAGAGUGUCGGAGAGGUAAGUGGAAUUCCUAGUGUAGCGGUGAAAUGCGUAGAUAUUAGGAGGAACCCCAGUGGCGAAGGCGGCUUACUGGACGAUAACUGACGUUGAGGCUCGAAAGCGUGGGGAGCAAACAGG
rnacentral:rRNA from 1 species